GUUGGGCAUGGUGGCCCACGCCUGUAAUCCUAGCAGCUUGAGAGGCUGAGACAGGAGGAUCGCAAGUUCAAAGCCAGCCUCAGCAACCCAGUGAGGCCUUAAGCAAUGCACUGAGACUCUGUCUCUA
rnacentral:sRNA from 1 species